rnacentral:rRNA from 1 species
UACAGAGGGUGCAAGCGUUAAUCGGAAUUACUGGGCGUAAAGCGUGCGCAGGCGGCUUUGCAAGACAGAUGUGAAAUCCCCGGGCUCAACCUGGGAACUGCAUUUGUGACUGUAUAGCUAGAGUACGGCAGAGGGGGAUGGAAUUCCGCGUGUAGCAGUGAAAUGCGUAGAUAUGCGGAGGAACACCGAUGGCGAAGGCAAUCCCCUGGGCCUGUACUGACGCUCAUGCACGAAAGCGUGGGGAGCAAACAGG